UGGGGAAUAUUGCGCAAUGGGCGAAAGCCUGACGCAGCGACGCCGCGUGAGGGAUGAAGGUUUUCGGAUCGUAAACCUCUGUCAGAAGGGAAGAAACCGCACUGUGCUAAUCAGCAGUGCCUUGACGGUACCUUCAAAGGAAGCACCGGCUAACUCCGUGCCAGCAGCCGCGGUAAUACGGAGGGGGCAAGCGUUAAUCGGAAUUACUGGGCGUAAAGCGCACGUAGGCUGCUUUGUAAGUCAGGGGUGAAAUCCCACGGCUCAACCGUGGAACUGCCUUUGAUACUGCUUAGCUUGAAUCCGGGAGAGGGUGGCGGAAUUCCAGGUGUAGGAGUGAAAUCCGUAGAUAUCUGGAGGAACAUCAGUGGCGAAGGCGGCCACCUGGACCGGUAUUGACGCUGGGGUGCGAAAGCGUGGGGAGCAAACAGG
rnacentral:rRNA from 1 species